AAGUGUGGACGCCAGUCUGCAUGGAGCCGACCUUGAAAUACCACCCUUUAAUGUUUGAUGUUCUAACGUUGACCCGUAAUCCGGGUUGCGGACAGUGUCUGGUGGGUAGUUUGACUGGGGCGGUCUCCUCCUAAAGAGUAACGGAGGAGCACGAAGGUUGGCUAAUCCUGGUCGGACAUCAGGAGGUUAGUGCAAUGGCAUAAGCCAGCUUGACUGCGAGCGUGACGGCGCGAGCAGGUGCGAAAGCAGGUCAUAGUGAUCCGGUGGUUCUGAAUGGAAGGGCCAUCGCUCAACGGAUAAAAGGUACUCCGGGGAUAACAGGCUGAUACCGCCCAAGAGUUCAUAUCGACGGCGGUGUUUGGCACCUCGAUGUCGGCUCAUCACAUCCUGGGGCUGAAGUAGGUCCCAAGGGUAUGGCUGUUCGCCAUUUAAAGUGGUACGCGAGCUGGGUUUAGAACGUCGUGAGACAGUUCGGUCCCUAUCUGCCGUGGGCGCUGGAGAACUGAGGGGGGCUGCUCCUAGUACGAGAGGACCGGAGUGGACGCAUCACUGGUGUUCGGGUUGUCAUGCCAAUGGCACUGCCCGGUAGCUAAAUGCGGAAGAGAUAAGUGCUGAAAGCAUCUAAGCACGAAACUUGCC
rnacentral:rRNA from 1 species